GACGAACGCUGGCGGCGUGCUUAACACAUGCAAGUCGAACGGAAAGGCCCUGCUUUUGUGGGGUGCUCGAUUGGCGAACGGGUGAGUAACACGUGAGUAACCUGCCCUUGACUUUGGGAUAACUUCAGGAAACUGGGGCUAAUACCGGAUAGGAGCUCCUGCUGCAUGGUGGGGGUUGGAAAGUUUCGGCGGUUGGGGAUGGACUCGCGGCUUAUCAGCUUGUUGGUGGGGUAGUGGCUUACCAAGGCUUUGAGGGGUAGCCGGCCUGAGAGGGUGGCCGGGCACCAUGGGCCUGCGAGACGGACCAGACUGCAACGGGCGGCAACAGUGGGGAACCUUGCACAAUGGCCGGAAGCCUGAUGCAGCAACGCUGCGUGCGGGAUGACGGCCUUCGGGUUGUAAACCGCUUUCGCCUGUGACGAAGCGUGAGUGACGGUAAUGGGUAAAGAAGCACCGGCUAACUACGUG
rnacentral:rRNA from 1 species